CGAUUUUCCAAUUAUACAUGAUAUAAGGAGCCCUGACGUCAUAAUUAUCAAUGCUUUAAGCGAUACCAGACAUUACGACGCGCGGCUUAUUUGACCUGAUACAGCUAUAGUUUGCGUAAAGUGCCAGUAUGGUUAAACAUUGUUGUUGGGGAACCUGUAAGAGUGAUUCACGGUAUUCAGAAAGACAGCACAUGAGUGGAGUAACGUGGAUUCCUUUUCCAAAACCGUUUUCCCAGGCAGAUAAAUGCCAGAGGUGGGUGAAACUGUGUGGUAGGAAAAAACUUCUCCGUAGCUAAUGUAAACAAGUCCACUUAUAUAUGCUCCAAGCAUUUUGUAUCUGGAAGGCCUACUGAAGAGCACCCAGACCCGUUGCCAGCAUCAGGCACUUCGUUUGAUAUAGAGAGAGCAUACAGGAAAAAGAGACGAGUGUUGUCCAGAGUUGACACUGACAACGGAAAUGGACCACAGGAAAAUAAAAUAAAAAAUGAGGUAUUUUGCUGGGAUGUGGGUGCCCAUGAAGAAAUGUCUUCAGAAGUUGAAGGAAUUCAAAGUGGUGAUGACUGUGAUGUACUACAAAUACAUAAUGAAGAUGUGGAAGUGUUGCCUGUAAUAGAAGGAAAGGAUGACAUCCCCAAAGUUGACCAUUCAUAUUGCUCAAAAGCCAACACCACAGCUGUUUCCACUACCAGUAUACAGUGUCAGACUGAUGUUACAUUAGAAGAUUUAUCAGCAUAUGAUGAUAUUCAUCUGAAGGACAAAGGCAGUAUGAGAAGAAGCCAUGUCAUGAAUGAUGUCCUGAAGAAUGAUGCAUCCUGUAAAUUCUA